rnacentral:lncRNA from 1 species
UCUGACUCCCCUGAGCCAUCUAGAUCCAGAGGGACAAGUUCUGAUUCUCUUUUUUGUUCAGCAAUGUUCCCAAAGGAUAUUUAUGAAGUAACUAAGGGAGAAACAAAUAUAAGAAAAACAGAAAAGCAUGGGAAUAACUGGAGAUGAAGAAACAAUUAUGGAAAGGUCAACAAUUUUCCAGAUGUGGAUUGAAGACCCUAUAACAUCUCUGACACUCUUUAAAGAGGAACACAAUGUGAGAUGGAAGAAAAGGAUUCCAGUAGGCAGCUUGAAUUCUUAGGACCAAGAAUUUAGCAAAAUUCAUAUGGCUAAGUCAAUUAAAAAUCAUCAUACAGUUUAUCAUCAGCUACAUGAAGAUGAUUAGAUUUAAGUCAUCAGUCACAUUUUCUACUAGAAGAAACA